GUCAGUGACCAUACCACGUAGAAAGCACCGGUUCUCGUCCGUUCACCGAAGUUAAGCUACGUUGGGCCUAGUUAGUACUUGCAUGGGUGACCGGCUGGGAAUAACGGGUGUUGCUGACA
rfam:Schistocephalus solidus strain NST_G2 genome assembly, scaffold: SSLN_scaffold0001781